AUGAAAAAUUGGUUCUAUGGAGAAGAAUGUGAAAGGGUCUAUAUAGGGCUCCAAAAUAUAUUGGGAAAGCCAGUUUUAGUGGGCGAGAAUACCUUGGACAUUGAUAAACAUAUACUAAAUAUGAAAAGAACAAAACAAAGUCAUCGGCCAUCUCUCUAUGAUCCACUCUCGCCGGCGACUUCAUCACCUUCGACGACAACACCUCGAAGCUACGACGCGGACAACUGA